CUAAAGGUCCCUAGUUCAAUCCUGGGCAGCAAUAUAGUAAGUAUAUUUUUCUUAUUAUUUUUAACCUAGUUUCAUUAAGUUUAUACUGAGAGCACAAAUUUAGUUGCCUAGUGCAUAACUUAUGUUUGAAGUUGCUGUGGUGUAGUGGUUAUCACGUUAGGCUUACACACUAAAGGUCCUCAGUUCGAUCCCGGGCAGCAAUAUAGUAAGUAUAUUAUUCUUUUUAUUUUAACCUAGUUUCAUGAGGUUCAUUCCUUUUAUUUAAACUAAUUUCACCAAGUUUAUACUAAGUGCACAAAUUUAGUUGCCUGGUGCACAACUUAUGUUUGAAGUUGUUGUGGUGUAGUGGUUAUCACGUUAGUCUUACACACUAAAGGUCCCCAGCCCAAUCUUGAGCAGCAAUAUAUCGAAAUGCAGAGCAAAUGCUCGAUGAAAGGCCAUACAGAGAAUGAUGCAUGAGAAUUGUUGAAGAUUCGGCCAAAGUUUCGCAGUACUUUUGAUGUAACUUUUAUAUUACCGACAACCUGAGGAAGACAGCGAUUAGGGUUGUCUGCUGUGCUGCUUGCAAAAGCUUUGGAAGUCCUUUUCAAGGGGACAAGCAUAAAAUGAUGCUUCUCCAUGACCACGAAAACUGAAUCAGCACACAACCCAUUUUCCCUAGCAAGCUUAUGACUCUACACAAAUAAUAUACAUUGACCGAACUGCUUUGGGAUUGAAUGGCAAUGGAGGAAACUACUGGACCAACCAGGUCUAAACCAAGGAAGGGCAGGCUGCCUCCCAAAAGAGGAAGUAUCAAACUAAAAAUAAUAUCCAAGUUCUUUGAGAAGGUGGUUGGAUUUGCAUCAAAGUUAGCAGGACAACAGAAACAAAAGGGCGUGGAUCGAGCUACAACAGAAGAACCAUAGCCUAGACGACUAUGCGCCCAAGCUCAAUGCAGCCAAUGAGAUCAUUAUGAUGAGUGUAUGCUACUAGUUUUAUUCUACUAUGUAUAAAUAGUAUUUCUAUGUUGUUCGCAUGCCAUGGUCAAACCUACUACAUUAUGCAACCAUGCUUGAUCUCUACUAUGUAACAAUCUUGUGCUAUAAAGAAAUAAUUUUAUGUUACUUACAUUCACCAUUGGACAAUCAAAUCAUGCAUGCUCUUGAGAUCAGCCCAUAUAAAGUGGGAAAAGUGGGAAAAAUUAAACGAUGCCUCAAUGAUUGAAAUAUUUAUAUUUUUAGCUUUGUCUCCAU